rnacentral:lncRNA from 1 species
GCCAACCAUAAUUUACUUAUUUCAUCAAUACUUUUACAACUUAAAUGAUUCUCAUUAAACAUCCUAGGUACAUGCCAUUAUCAAUAGUACUCAACAUACUUUACCUUAUUGAAUUCGGGAUCGGCCUGGAAUGCUGAUUCAACAGUCUAGCCUUAACUUAACCUGCGCACGGAAACAAACCGUACGCUAAGUAUACACUCAGUGGUAUUUCUAUAAUCUGGACACUUAAACAAUUAUAAAACAUAGUAAUAUAUAUAUAUUGAACUAUUCAAACUCAAUGAGAAUUCAAACAUUCACUUUCCAACCAAUGUUUUGGUCUACUUUAAAUUUCAAAUCAUUUAUUAUUUUUCAAUAGCAAUUAAUCAAUCAGUAAUAUUCAUUAACACUCAGAAUAAUUAUUUAUUCAGUAACAGUCAGUUAUUCGGUAACAAUCAAUUAUUCAAUAAUAACCAGUUAUUCAGUAUCGAUCAAUUGAUUGGUUAUCCAGUAACAGUCAAUUAUUCAGUAAAAUCAAAUAUUCAGUAACUAUUAAGUUAUUCAGUAGCAGUCAUUCAUUCAGUGACAAUCAGUUAUUCAGUAAUGAUCAAUUAUUCAGUAAUAUUCAGUUAUUCAGUAACAGUCUAAUAUCCAGUAACAGUCAAUUAUCUGGUAACAGUCAAUUAUUCAGUAAUAAUCAGUUAUUUUAUACCUUUAUUUACCCCUAUUAGCAUGACUAGGACUCAGACGGAUACACGGAUCCAACCAACACACCAGUACAGCACAUAGUGCCUCAUCGGUCGAAGCCGGAACAGUAACAGUAACAGUAACAGUAGCAGUACGGUACACAGAGUACCUCAUUGGAACAAAUCCGGAAUAGUAAUAGUAACAGUAUUCAACACACAAAGUGCUGAAUCAGUAACGGUAACAGUAACAAUAUUCGACACACAAAGUGCAGAAUCGGUAACGGUAACAGUAACAAUAUUCGACACACACAGUGCCGAAUCGGUAACGGUAGCAGUAACAAUAUUCGACACACAAAGUGCCGAAUCGGUAAUAGUAGCAGUAGCGGUAACAGUAACUAGCACAUAAGUGCCUAAAAUACGGCACAUAAAGUGCCCGAUCGGUAAAGUCGAUAAAUCCCGUACUCUUCCAAUCCUAUGGCAUGCCAAUUAUAUCCGAUUAGCCCGACAAGUUAAUAGGAAAUUUAAUUCUUAUUCCAAUUUUACUUAAUAUUCAUAUUUACCCCUAUUAACAAGACUCGGACUUUGGCGGAUAUACGGAUUCCAACCAAACACACCAGUAUGGCACUCAGUGCCUGAACACUUCCAAAUCCUAUGGCAUGCCAACUAUAUCCGACUCAGUCCGACUAGUUAACAGGGUGUUCAAAUCAUUUUUUUUAUUUCAAAUUCGCUUUCAAUUCAAUCACAAUUUCUCAUAUUUCAAUAUCCAACCAAUACACAUUUCAAUUAAUCAUAAUUCCAUUCCAUUCCAUUCAAUUCAAUUCAAUUCAAAUUCACUUUUCCACUUUCUGAUUAGUAUACAAUUCAAUACCAAUAUAUAUUUCAGAUAUUCACAUAUAAUCAUACUUCGGUUCUAUUCCAACCACUUUUCAAUCAGUACACAAUUCACAUAUUUACACAUAUUCAUAAUUUAUUUUAUUUCAAAUAAUUUAAUCAAUGCACCUACCAUAUAUAAUAAAUAAUAAAUUCAAUAAUUAAAUAUUAAGUUCGGGUUAUAGAAAUACAAACCGUAACUUUCGAGCUAACUCCCGUUGACUUUGUUUUGUCCUUUUUUAGCCGAGAUUUUCUGUACCACAUUGACUACGAAAUUAAUACAAUUCAUAAUCAUUAAUAAAUUACUAAUUUAUAUCUUGAGUUACAGAAUUCUAAAUUAAGAUCCGUUAAUUUUUCCUGAAACUAGACUCACAAAUCUUCUUACCAUAAGAUUUUCAGAAUUUUUGUUUUAGCCAUUAAGUACAAUUUAUUCUUUAAAUUCACUCCUAUUUCGCUGUCUAACAGUUUCGACCCUUCUUCACUAAAAAUUAAUUAUCUCACAGUACAAAACUCGGAUAAUAUUCCUGUUGAUUUCUCCUAAGUAGACUCAUUAGGGAUUCUGAACAUAUAACUUUAACCCUAUAAUUAUUUUUCUCCAAUUUUUGGUGAUUUUCCAAAGUCAAAACAGGGGAACUCGAAUUCAUUCUGACCUUGUCUCACAAAAUUCGUUAUAUCUCAUAAUUUACAAUUCAAUUUCUACUCAAUUUUUAACCAAACUUAGACAUAAUUAUCUACUUUUCAUCAUAAAACCAUAAUUUAGAAAUUCUUUCAAUUUAGUCCUUAAAGCAUAAAACUUAUGAAUCACUUUACAAUUCAAUCAUUAUUUCAUUUCUAACUUGAAUUUUUAUCAAUUUAGCCCUUAAUUCAUCAUUUUACUCAACAUGAACAAUAUUUCGAAAUCUAAUAACUUUCAAAAUAUCAACUUAAUUUCAUCAAAAUUUUAUUCUAAAGCUUUUAAAAUAUCAAAAUUAAGUAAAAAGAGCUAAAUUGACAUACCUAUUAAAGUUUAAAGCUUCAAAACCUUAAUUUUCCCUUUUCUCCCUUUCUUUCUUUCUUUCCUUUCUUUCUCCCCUGUUCUUCUCUGUUUCGUUUGCUU